rnacentral:lncRNA from 1 species
AAGAAGAAGAAGAGAAGUAGAGGGAGAAGAGAAGAAAAGAAGAAGAAGAGGGAAAAGAAGAGAGGAAGAAGAGGGAGAAGAGAAGAAAAGAAGAAGAAGAAGAGAGGGAAGAGGGAGAGGAAAGAGAGAUAGAUACAGCAGCUAGGGCUGCAGCACCUCUGUUUCGUGUAGGAGGAAACAGAGGAGUUCAUGUGUGGGGCG